CGUAGAAUGUAUUGGUUUUAUUAGGAUUUUUUUUUUAUACUGUGUACAUAAAUUCGAUUAGAAACCUUGCUCAGAUAUAUACACACGGCUCCAUUUUUGAAAGAGUAUUGUGUCCAGAUGGGACUUUUAAGAGGCCAUUUUUUGAUGUUCCAAGCGGUUUUCAUAAUAUCUGGGAAAAACCAGGAUAAAAGGAAAAAACCAAGAAAUGUAGUAAAAUAAUGCUUUUAUUAUUCUUUAAUUUUGUAAAUUGUUGUAAUUGAGUUAACCAUAUUCGUUAUGAAUUGAAAUUUAGACAGAAAACCUAUAUUUGUCUUUUCUAGACGUGGUCAAAUUUUGGAAACAUUUUUGCCAUUUUUAAGCUUUUUAUAAACAUUUUAAUAUUUUUGUUGAAAUUAAGUUAAAAAUAUUUCUAUCAACUCAAUGGACUUAAAAUUUGAGUCGAAUCGUCGAGUAAAAAGUUAUGCGGAACAAAUAAUAUUUUUCAUUUUUUUUUUUCACAUAUGUAUAUUGACGAUUUCAGAACGAUGAAAUAGUCAAAAUUAAGGGGGCUGACUAAGUUUCGAAAUUAUAGCUUUUUGAAGUUCUGAUAUUAUGCGGACAUUAUAUGUUAUGUUAAGCAACUAAAUGUUGUCAUCACUAUAGUUUGUUAGUUGUAUCUGAAUGGUUAGAUAUACCUAUUAUUAUACCUGGAGGUCCUGGGUUCGAAUUUUUAAAUAAAAUAAUUCGAUUCAUUUUUAGACUUUGGAAUAACUAAAAAAACUUAACAUAACUAUAAAAAACAAAAUACUGUUUCCAGAUAAAUAAUUUUGAACUUUAAUAUGUUAUUUCAAAAACUUCAUAAAGUUAAUGGAAUUAAAAAAAAACAGUUAAAAACUGUUUCACCAAUAUA